GAUGAACGCUGGCGGCGUGCUUAACACAUGCAAGUCGAACGGUGAACCUUUUAUUGAAGCUUCGGCAGAUUUAGCUGGUUUCUAGUGGCGGACGGGUGAGUAACGCGUGGGUAACCUGCCCUAUACAGGGGGAUAACAACCAGAAAUGGUUGCUAAUACCUCAUAACCGCACAGGGCCGCAUGGUCCGGUGUGAAAAACUCCGGUGGUAAAGGAUGGACCCGCGUUGGAUUAGCCAGUUGGCAGGGUAACGGCCUACCAAAGCGACGAUCCAUAGCCGGCCGGAGAGGGUGAACGGCAACAUUGGGACUGAGACACGUACCAGACUCCUACGAGAGGAAGAAGGGGGGAAUAUUGCACAAUGGGGGAAACACUGAUGCAGCGACGCCGCGUGAAGGAAGAAGUAUCGCGGUAUGUAAACUUCUAUCAGCAGGGAAGAUAGUGACGGUACCUGACUAAGAAGCCACGGCUAACUACGUG
rnacentral:rRNA from 1 species